rnacentral:misc_RNA from 1 species
GAUGAAGAACGUAGCGAAAUGCGAUACUUGGUGUGAAUUGCAGAAUCCCGUGAACCAUCGAGUCUUUGAACGCAAGUUGCGCCCGAAGCCACUAGGCCGAGGGCACGCCUGCCUGGGCGUCACACGUCGUUGCCCCCCCAUCUACUCCUUCGGGAUUGCGGGGGGGCGGAUGAUGGCCUCCCGUGCGCCUAGCCGCGCGGUUGGCAUAAAUACCAAGUCCUCGGCGACGCACGCCACGACAAUCGGUGGUUGCGAAACCUCGGUUGCCCGUCGUGUGCGUUCGUCGCGCAUCGAGGGCUCGAAAAAAUGCUCGGCUUCGACUCGGCUUUCAACGCGACCCCAGGUCAGGCGGGGUUACCCGCUGAAUUUAAGCAUAUCAAUAAGCGGAGGA